rnacentral:lncRNA from 1 species
UAACAAGUAAUAGGAUUUUAAUCUUCUUGCCAGGAGAGGCUACUUUUUCAGCACUAAAGGUGACUCACAAGCAGCAUAACUCUGGGAAAGUUAAAAGUGGUAAUUCAACAAGACUCAAGGAUUGUGUGGUACUCAAAAGGAUAAAAUAACCGUGCAGGGAGCUCUUCUUCCUCCAUGUCCUGCUGAUGAAUGAAACUGGAAAGCCAGAUCAGUUCAGAGAUGCUGAAAAAUAUGAUCACAUCUUCAUGAGCACCCAGCUGAAAUGUGGCCCAGCAUGAGGAAGAGCAGAGGACUUGGAUGAGCUUCUCUACGUUUCAGUGCACUCCAUCUAUACAGAAAAUAGAAACUGUUUUUGUGGAAUUGGAGUCCAAAUGCUGUUUGUCUACUGGAGAAAAAGGAGCAUAGUUCAAAGGGUUGGAGAGAGAAAAGGAAGUUUCACUGAGCUCUCCUGGGGCAAGGCAAGAGAGGGAAGCUUUCCUCUGGUCUCCCCUGAGGACCCCAUGCUGCUCCCUUGGGUACCAGGGAUGAAGUUGGGGAAAAGAUGUACUCUGUGAGUCAGGCAGAGUUUGGAGUUAUUUUUUAGAGGGGUUGGUUCAUGUCUG